UGAGGAAUAUUGGUCAAUGGACGAGAGUCUGAACCAGCCAAGUAGCGUGCAGGAUGACGGCCCUAUGGGUUGUAAACUGCUUUUGUUUGGGAAUAAUCGACAUUACGUGUAAUGUUUUGCAUGUACCAUUCGAAUAAGGACCGGCUAAUUCCGUGCCAGCAGCCGCGGUAAUACGGAAGGUCCAGGCGUUAUCCGGAUUUAUUGGGUUUAAAGGGAGUGUAGGCGGUUGGUUAAGCGUGUUGUGAAAUGUAGAUGCUCAACAUCUGGCUUGCAGCGCGAACUGGCUGACUUGAGUACACACAACGUAGGCGGAAUUCAUGGUGUAGCGGUGAAAUGCUUAGAUAUCAUGAAGAACUCCGAUUGCGAAGGCAGCUUACGGGAGUGUUACUGACGCUUAAGCUCGAAGGUGUGGGUAUCGAACAGG
rnacentral:rRNA from 1 species